ACUCAAAUGAAUAGACGGGGGCCCGCACAAGCAGCGGAGCGUGUGGUUUAAUUCGAUGGUACGCGAAGAACCUUACCUGGGUUUGACAUAGCCGUAGUAGUCAGGUGAAAGCCGAGCGACCCUUCGGGGAGCGGUUACAGGUGCUGCAUGGCUGUCGUCAGCUCGUGUCGUGAGAUGUUGGGUUAAGUCCCGCAACGAGCGCAACCCCCGUCGUUAGUUACAAGUGUCUAACGAGACUGCUGGUAUCAAACCGGAGGAAGGUGGGGAUGACGUCAAGUCAGCAUGGUCUUUAUAUCCAGGGCGACACACACGCUACAAUGGCCGGUACAACAGGUUGCGACCGCGUCAGCGGAGGCUAAUCCCCAAAGCCGGUCUCAGUUCAGAUUGUCGUCUGCAACCCGACGGCAUGAAGGCGGAGUUGCUAGUAACCGCGCGUCAGCCAUAGUGCGGUGAAUGCGUUCCCGGGCCUUGUACACACCGCCCGU
rnacentral:rRNA from 1 species